CAGGACACCCAAUUAAAUUUAAAUUUCAGAUACACAACGAAUAAUGUUUUAGUAUAAGUAUGACUUCCAAUAUUUAGGACAUACUUAUACUAAAACAUUAUUCACUGUUUAUCUGAAUUCGAAUAUAACUGGAUGCCU
rnacentral:miRNA from 1 species